rnacentral:rRNA from 1 species
UACAGAGGUGGCAAGCGUUGUCCGGAUUUAUUGGGCGUAAAGAGCUCGUAGGCGGUUGGGCAAGUCACGUGUGAAAUCUCCACGCUCAACGUGGAGGCGCCACGUGAGACUGCCCUGACUCGAGUCCGGUAGGGGAGCGUGGAAUUCCCGGUGUAGCGGUGAAAUGCGUAGAUAUCUGGAGGAACACCGGUGGCGAAGGCGGCAUCCUGGACCGGCAUUGACGCUGAGGAGCGAAAGCCAGGGGAGCAAACGGG